AACGAACGCUGGCGGCAUGCCUAACACAUGCAAGUCGAACGAGAUCUUCGGGUCUAGUGGCGCACGGGUGCGUAACGCGUGGGAAUCUGCCCUUUGGUUCGGAAUAACAGUUGGAAACGACUGCUAAUACCGGAUGAUGACGAAAGUCCAAAGAUUUAUCGCCAGAGGAUGAGCCCGCGUAGGAUUAGCUAGUUGGUGUGGUAAAGGCGCACCAAGGCGACGAUCCUUAGCUGGUCUGAGAGGAUGAUCAGCCACACUGGGACUGAGACACGGCCCAGACUCCUACGGGAGGCAGCAGUGGGGAAUGUGGGACAAUGGGCGAAAGCCUGAUCCAGCAAGGCCGCGUGAGUGGUGAAGGCCUUAGGGUUGUAAAGCUCUUUUACCCGGGAUGAUAAUGACAGUACCGGGAGAAUAAGCUCCGGCUAACUCCGUGCCAGCCGCCGCCGUAA
rnacentral:rRNA from 1 species